AACAAAUUAGUUAGUAACUGAACAAGUCUUGACGGUACCUAACCAGAAAGCAACGGCUAACUACGUGCCAGCAGCCGCGGUAAUACGUAGGUGGCAAGCGUUGUCCGGAUUUAUUGGGCGUAAAGCGAGCGCAGGCGGUUUCUUAAGUCUGAUGUGAAAGCCCCCGGCUCAACCGGGGAGGGUCAUUGGAAACUGGGAGACUUGAGUGCAGAAGAGGAGAGUGGAAUUCCAUGUGUAGCGGUGAAAUGCGUAGAUAUAUGGAGGAACACCAGUGGCGAAGGCGGCUCUCUGGUCUGUAACUGACGCUGAGGCUCGAAAGCGUGGGGAGCA
rnacentral:rRNA from 1 species